rnacentral:rRNA from 1 species
CCAGACUCCUACGGGAGGCAGCAGUGGGGAAUAUUGCACAAUGGGGGGAACCCUGAUGCAGCGACGCCGCGUGAGUGAAGAAGUAUUUCGGUAUGUAAAGCUCUAUCAGCAGGGAAGAAAAUGACAGUACCUGACUAAGAAGCCCCGGCUAACUACGUGCCAGCAGCCGCGGUAAUACGUAGGGGGCAAGCGUUAUCCGGAUUUACUGGGUGUAAAGGGGGCGCAGACGGCGAUGCAAGCCAGGAGUGAAAGCCCGGGGCCCAACCCCGGGACUGCUCUUGGAACUGCGUGGCUGGAGUGCAGGAGGGGCAGGCGGAAUUCCUGGUGUAGCGGUGAAAUGCGUAGAUAUCAGGAGGAACACCGGUGGCGAAGGCGGCCUGCUGGACGAUGACUGACGCUGAGGCUCGAAAGCGUGGGGAGCAAACAGGAUUAGAUACCCGCGUAC